rnacentral:rRNA from 1 species
CCUACGGGGGGCAGCAGUGGGGAAUAUUGCACAAUGGGGGAAACCCUGAUGCAGCGACGCCGCGUGAGUGAAGAAGUAUCUCGGUACGUAAAGCCCUAUCAGCAGGGAAGAAAAUGACGGUACCUGACUAAGAAGCACCGGCUAACGACGUGCCAGCAGCCGUGGGAAUACGCAGGGGGCAAGCGUUAUCCGGAUUUACUGGGUGUAAAGGGAGCGUAGACGGCAGCACAAGUCUGGAGUGAAAUCCCGGGGUGUAAACCCGGAACUGCUGUGGAAACUGGGCGGCUGGAGUGCAGGAGGGGUAAGCGGAAUGCCUGGUGUAGCGGUGAAAUGCGUAGAUAUUAGGAGGAACACCGGUGGCGAAGGCGGCUUACUGGACUGCAACUGACGUUGAGGCUCGAAAGCGUGGGGAGCAAACAGGAUUAGAUACCCUUGUAGUC